rnacentral:rRNA from 1 species
AUUGAACGCUAGCGGGAUGCUUUACACAUGCAAGUCGAACGGCAGCGCGGACUUCGGUCUGGCGGCGAGUGGCGAACGGGUGAGUAAUGUAUCGGAACGUGCCCAGUAGCGGGGGAUAACUACGCGAAAGCGUAGCUAAUACCGCAUACGCCCUACGGGGGAAAGCAGGGGAUCGUAAGACCUUGCACUAUUGGAGCGGCCGAUAUCGGAUUAGCUAGUUGGUGAGGUAACGGCUCACCAAGGCGACGAUCCGUAGCUGGUUUGAGAGGACGACCAGCCACACUGGGACUGAGACACGGCCCAGACUCCUACGGGAGGCAGCAGUGGGGAAUUUUGGACAAUGGGGGCAACCCUGAUCCAGCCAGCCCGCGUGUGCGAUGAAGGCCUUCGGGUUGUAAAGCACUUUUGGCAGGAAAGAAACGUCGCGGGCUAAUACCCCGUGGAACUGACGGUACCUGCAGAAUAAGCACCGGCUAACUACGUG